GCAAACUUGGUCAUUUAGAGGAAGUAAAAGUCGUAACAAGGUCUCCGUUGGUGAACCAGCGGAGGGAUCAUUACCGAGUUUACAAACUCCCAAACCCCUGUGAACAUACCAAAUCGUUGCUUCGGCGGGAUCGCCCCGGCGCCCCCGGGCCCGGACCCAGGCGCCCGCCGGAGGACCUAAACUCUUGUCUUUUACGGUGUAUCUUCUGAGUGACACAAGCAAAUAAAAUCAAAACUUUCAACAACGGAUCUCUUGGUUCUGGCAUCGAUGAAGAACGCAGC
rnacentral:misc_RNA from 1 species